AACGCUGCUGGUAUCCGCGAGGCGGUGCGGAAGCUAGGUGAUGACUACCUCUCCUUCCUGCCUGAGGCUGUUACCAUUCCUGGCUGAGCUUAUGGAAGAUGAGAGCACAGAAGUGGAAAGCCUGUGCCAAGACGUCAUCCUUGAAGUGGAGCAGAUCCUCGGUGAACCAUUAAUGAAAUAUUUUUAGUAUGCAAUAAA